UGUGCCCCCCCAACUCACAUGUUAAGCCAAGUCCCCAGUAUUUCACAAUAUGCCAUAGUCAGCGAUAGUGUUUUUAAAUAGGUUGAGAAAGUAAAAUGUGCUUAUUAGUUGGGCCUUAAUCCAAUUUCAGUGGUGUCCUUAUAAAAAGAGGACAUUGGGACAGGCACAGAGGAGAGGUCAUGUAAGGACACAGGGAGAAGGCAAGAUGAGAGGCCUCUGAUGAAACCAAGCCUGCUGACACUUUGCACUCAGACUCUAGUCUCCAGAAUUGUGAGAAAAUAAAUUUCUGCUGUCCAAGCCCCUGAGUCUUUGAUAUGUUGUUAUGGUAACCCUAGGAAACCGAUGGAGUGUGGAAGAGUAAACCCUGGUGCCUCCAGUGUUCCCACAGAGUUUCUCUCCAGAGCCUCACAAGGGCAGUUCCUAAACUUGUUAAUGUGACUACAAAGAACCAUGGACCUCAAUGAUUCAUUCCACAAACAUUUAUUGACUUCAUCCAGGCACAAAUGACAAGGGCAAAAAAAUAAGCUCCCAAGUAGCUCAAAAUAAAUAAGACCGGAAGCCACAACAGUUUAAGGAAGACACAGGCACACAGAAUUAACUUCACUAUGAUGCAGUCUGAGGUGAGAUGUGGUAUGCAGAGUGGGUGAGGACCACACCGUGGCCAUGCAGACUUCCCUGGGAUGCAGGAGGACGGUCAGAUUGGAGGCCCAUCAUAAGCAGGUCUUUAGGAAAAAAUACAAGUGUGCCAGGUGGAUGACGGAGCUCAGACACUGCAGCAUCGGGAAGUUGAAAAAGGAAACUUGUGUCCCGAUGCAAACGAGCUCUAGAUUCUCUGGAAAGCAAAAAGGAGAGCGAGGAGAGGAAGUUUCUCCAAUUUCUUUACUUCCCACCUGCUGGUCUGUCUGAUUUCCUGUCCAGCUCUGUCUGGUAAGGAAUUGACUCUCCCCCUCCUCUCCCGCCCUCGCCCUCCUGCCUUCCUCCCUCUCCUCCCUGAGUAACGAUGCUGUCCUAGCAAGUGAUGCUGUCCCAGCAAGUGAUGCUGUCCCAGCCUCGAGGCCAGCACGGAGCAGGCAUCGCAGCCGCUGCCUCAGG
rnacentral:lncRNA from 1 species